GAACUUAAGCAUAUCAAUAAGCGGAGGAAAAGAAACCAACAGGGAUUGCCUCAGUAACGGCGAGUGAAGCGGCAACAGCUCAAAUUUGAAAUCUGCCUUCCGGCCGAGUUGUAAUUUGUAGAAGAUGCUUCGGGUGUAGCACUGGUCUAAGUUCCUUGGAACAGGACGUCAUAGAGGGUGAGAAUCCCGUACGUGACUGGCUGCUUUCGCCCAUGUGAAGCUCUUUCGACGAGUCGAGUUGUUUGGGAAUGCAGCUCAAAAUGGGUGGUAUAUUUCAUCUAAAGCUAAAUAUUGGCCAGAGACCGAUAGCGCACAAGUAGAGUGAUCGAAAGAUGAAAAGCACUUUGGAAAGAGAGUUAAACAGUACGUGAAAUUGUUGAAAGGGAAGCGCUUGCAAUCAGACUUGCGCGCCGUCGAUCAUCCGAGGUUUUCCCCGGUGCACUCGGCGGUGCUCAGGCCAGCAUCGGUUUCGGUGGUUAGAUAAAGGCCUUGGGAAUGUGGCUCCUCCGGGAGUGUUAUAGCCCUCGGUGCAAUGUAGCCUACCGGGACCGAGGACCGCGCUUCGGCUAGGAUGCUGGCGUAAUGGUUGUAAGCGACCCGUCUUGAAACACGGACCAAGGAGUCUAACAUCUAUGCGAGUGUUUGGGUGUCAAACCCAUGCGCGUAAUUAACGUGAACGGAGGUGAGAACCCUUAAGGGUGCAUCAUCGACCGAUCCUGAUGUCUUCGGAUGGAUUUGAGUAAGAGCAUAGCUGUUGGGACCCGAAA
rnacentral:rRNA from 1 species